rnacentral:lncRNA from 1 species
AGGGCAGGUCCGGUAGAGACUCCAGGACAAGCCAUGCCAGUUGACCCAGGAUCUGUGAGGUCUCCGGAGCAAGAAGAGCCUAUAAAUUCAGGAACUAUGGGAUCUCCAGAGCAGACUGGUUUCAUAAGACAGGGGAUUAUGGGGUCUGCAAGCUCAGGAGAUCCAGUAGAAAGCUUUACAGAGCGCCCAGAGCAAGCAGGACCCAUGACCACAGACUCAGUGGGUGUUCAGGAAUGUGAGGGCCUGGAGGAAGUGGCCAUUGGCUCACCAGGGCAGGAGGGGACAAGGGGUCUAGUAGGGACAGCCAUGGAGUCUGUAGAGACAGGGCUGGAGAGCCCUGGGUACGGGGAGAUGCAAAAGCACGAGGA